rnacentral:lncRNA from 1 species
GAAAGUGCCUGUAAGCUUCAGUAUUCAGUGGCUCAGUCAGUCUCCAGCUUUCAUCCUUUCUCUUUGCACAUUUGUUCUUACAGCUCCUGUACGUACUCAUACACUGAAGAGGACCAUGAAAAAGUGCUUAAGCUCAAACAGUUUGUCUUUUCAUCCAUAGCAGAGCUCAAAAUGAGCACAGCUUCCCCACAGAGUGAGUGCUAUGAGCAAUGUAGCAGUUCAUCUGCUUCAAGAUCUUCUUCCCACUACCAGAUGGGGUUCACGUGUUAAGAAGAGGGUACCUGAAGUGGAGGCUAAGUUGUGAUUUGGCUGCAAAUAAUAAGGAAAAGUCUCAGGUGAGUUAUUAAGGUUUCUUCCCUUGAAAAAGGUAGUAAUUUACAGAAAUUGAUACAUUAUUACUAAAACACAAUAAAAUGGUGCACACAGUUAAAAUAUUUGAAAUCAUAUAUCAACUUAAAAUAGCUACUAUCUUUGCUAUCAAUUGGGUAAUAAUAUUCACAUUAUAUAUUAACUGAAAUAAUCAGAAAGAAAUAAAACUGAAAAAAUACAGUCAGAUAGGAAAAAAAUAAUUUGAAAUAUGACAAUAUG